UGGAGGUGAAGGAGUCAGCAGGCUCAGGGGAUAAUUAAUCACCGGAGGUGAGGUGCCCUGGCUCCCCAUGCCAGCGCCUGCUCCUGGCUGCCAGCCCUUGCAAGGCACCGGCCAGCUCUGAGAGCAGCCCAUGGUGCUGACGUGGGGCAGGGAAACUGCUCGUGGAGCCGGAGAGAGGAGAAGAAGGGCUCCGUGUCGUGUGGGAUGGAGUUUGGCACGAGGGACCCCAAGGAGGCCGAGCUGGAAAUGCUCCCUCUGGCUGGGAACUCUCCCAGGCUGAAGUUCGGGCACGUCCUUGGUGCUGCUGGUGGGAUCCCAACAUCCCCAUGCUGAGGGGUGUCUGCAGAGUCCUGGGGCAGAGCUGCACACCCAGGACAAGCAGCGUUUGCCACCCGUGGGGCCAGGGACCCUGAGCCUCUGCACCAGGCCCACUGAACCAUCAUGAGCAUCCUUCCCAGCACAGAGGUGAAAUGCUCUGGGUGCAGCUUCUCCCGAACGGUGAGCGCUGCCCUCCUCACCCCCCGCUGGCACGCAGAACAUCCCAUACACCUUGUGCCAUUUCAAGCCGCUUCAUUACCGAGUUUUACUUUCCAGUCCCCGCCCCGUGACCGUAAUCCUGUUUCUGUGUGUUCUGUAUCCAAGGUGUAAGAAGUCAUCGAGAGCUGUUGUUAACUGGAAGGGUGUAUUUGGUGUGGGAAACGGUGAGCAGAUACUCCCUAAUCCCUGUGUCAGCUCACAUCCUUUUCCCAUCCCGUAUGGGCACUGCACCCAAACAAACAGGGUGCCUGGUUACCAUCGCCGUGGCCCUUCCCCUGCCCUCCAGGAGGAUCGGGGUGCGUCUGGGACGUGUCUCCCUGUCCGUGCCAUCAGGAGAGCUCCGCACGGACACACAGCCACCUCUCCCAGCCACAGGUGGCAUGGGAAGGCUGGAGCGACGCAGAGCAGGAGCCCGACGGGAGGAGCUGUCACCAAGCCCCUCGCUGCUGGCCACCAGCAUCACCGGCUCUGCUGGAAUUUAGCCUCUGCUUCCCCCAAAACUGUGGACCCACAGAGCAGGGGCCAAGCUGGCAGCCUCUCCAGGCCAAAGCCUGCUUGGAGGUUCAGCUCAGACACAGAGAAAAAUAGCUGUCUGCCAUCCACCUGGGUCCCAGGGGUGUUUGUCUGCAUUGCUGGUACUUGUCACGGGGAUCGCCCAGGU
rnacentral:lncRNA from 1 species